rnacentral:tRNA from 1 species
GUGGGUAUAGCUCAGUGGUAGAAUGCAUGCUUAGCAUGUGCAAGGUCCUGGGUUCAAUUCCCAGUACAUCCA